rnacentral:tRNA from 1 species
GGCGUCGUAGCUCAGCUGGUAGAGCAUGCGCGUACAAAGCGUAGGUAGCGUCCAUGCGUGGGUUCGAAUCACACCGAGGUUA